GAUGAAGAACGCAGCGAAAUGCGAUAAGUAGUGUGAAUUGCAGAAUUCAGUGAAUCAUCGAAUCUUUGAACGCACAUUGCGCCUCCUGGUAUUCCGGGAGGCAUGCCUGUUCGAGCGUCAUUAAAAUCACUCAAGCUUAGGUUUACCUAUUGCUUGGUCUUGGAGAUGGAAGCCAAUUCAUUGGAAUCCUCUUCGAAGUCCAAUGGCGAAGACCCUUGCUCUCCCAAGUGUAGUAAUAACUUAUGUCACUGAAGGAAGCGAGAAAUCUUCCGCCGUAACCCCCAUAUUUUCUAUGAUUGACCUCGGAUCAGGUAGGGAUACCCGCUGAACUUAAGCAUAUCAAUAAGCGGAGGA
rnacentral:misc_RNA from 1 species